UCAUAAUUGAGGCCGAUGAUUAACGUAGCGCCCGUAUCCGCUCUAUUUCUUGCGAAUGCGAUAUCAACGCCACCACC
rnacentral:tRNA from 1 species